UAUGGCCACAUCAAGUUGAAACACUGGUUCCCAUAUGAUCACUGAAGUUAAGCAACUACGAACCGGAUCAGUACCUAGAUGGGUGAUCACUUGGGAAUACCAGGUGCUAUA